UACGUAGGCAGCGAGCGUUUGUUCGGAAUUACUGGGCGUAAAGAGUGUGUAGGCGGUGCUCUAAGUUCGGUGUGAAAUCUCCCGCUUAACUGGGAGGGUGCGCCGGAAACUGGAGUGCUCGAGCGUGGGAGAGGAAGCGGAAUUCCUGGUGUAGCGGUGAAAUGCGUAGAUAUCAGGAGGAACACCUGCGGUGUAGACGGCUUUCUGGACCAUUGCUGACGCUGAGACACGAAAGCGUGGGUAGCAAACAGG
rnacentral:rRNA from 1 species